rnacentral:tRNA from 1 species
GGGCCUGUGUUGUAACCGGUUAACAAGUCGGCGUUAGCACCCGGCGAAGCGGGUUCAAGUCCCGCCAGGUCCA